CGUGCAAGUGGACGGUAGCACAGAGAGCUUGCUCUCGGGUGACGAGUGGCGGACGGGUGAGUAAUGUCUGGGAAACUGCCUGAUGGAGGGGGAUAACUACUGGAAACGGUAGCUAAUACCGCAUAACGUCGCAAGACCAAAGAGGGGGACUUCGGGCCUCUUGCCAUCAGAUGUGCCCAGAUGGGAUUAGCUAGUAGGUGGGGUAACGGCUCACCUAGGCGACGAUCCCUAGCUGGUCUGAGAGGAUGACCAGCCACACUGGAACUGAGACACGGUCCAGACUCCUACGGGAGGCAGCAGUGGGGAAUAUUGCACAAUGGGCGCAACGUGAUGCAGCCAUGCCGCGUGUAUGAAGAAGGCCUUCGGGUUGUAAAGUACUUUCAGCGGGGAGGAAGGCGAUACGGUUAAUAACCGUGUUGAUUGACGUUACCCGCAGAAGAAGCACCGGCUAACUCCGUGCCAGCAGCCGCGGUAAUACGGAGGGUGCGAGCGUUAAUCGGAAUUACUGGGCGUAAAGCGCACGCAGGCGGUCUGUCAAGUCGGAUGUGAAAUCCCCGGGCUCAACCUGGGAACUGCAUCCGAAACUGGCAG
rnacentral:rRNA from 1 species